UACGAAGGGUGCAAACGUUGCUCGGAAUUAUUGGGCGUAAAGCGCACGUAGGCGGCCAACUAAGUCGGAUGUGAAAUCCCCAGGCUUAACCUGGGAACUGCAUCCGAUACUGGAUGGCUUGAAUCCGGGAGAGGGAUGCAGAAUUCCAGGUGUAGCGGUGAAAUGCGUAGAUAUCUGGAGGAAUACCGGUGGCGAAGGCGGCAUCCUGGACCGGCAUUGACGCUGAGUGAGCGAAAGCCAGGGGAGCAAACGGG
rnacentral:rRNA from 1 species